rnacentral:tRNA from 1 species
GGGGGAUUAGCUCAGUUGGCUAGAGCACCUGCUUUGCACGCAGGGGGUCAUCGGUUCGAAUCCGUUAUCCUCCA